CAUCUACUCCCUCUGUUCGAAAAAGCUUGUCCCUCAAAUGGAUGUAUCUAACACCAACUUAGUGCUAGGUACAUCUAUUUGAGGGACAAGUUUGGGACAAGCUUUUUCGGAAGGAGGGAGUGCGAG
rfam:Triticum urartu cultivar G1812 contig1001161, whole genome shotgun sequence.